CCCGGGCAAUUGAGCGCUCCAUCCCCUUCUUCGGCGCCCUUGAGCGCCUUCCCAGCUCAGCCAGCCUCACCCUUUUCGGGGCGGUUGGGCCCCGCGCCUGUGGGGGCGGUGCCUGGAACUAGCUACCUAGCCAAUGGGGCAGGGCUGCGCGGCUGGCUCAGGCCCCGACGGACCGCGGUGAAUGACGUGGAGGCGGGUGGAAGCGGAAGGAGUCCUGGGGAAGAGGGGAUGAUGGUGGCGGCUGUCCUGCUGAGAGUGUUGGUGCUGCCAUGGGAGCGGGUGGCCUAGUAAGCGGUGUGCGCCUCCAGGAUCCUGCUCUCCAUCUACGCGGACCACGUGGAGCGGGAGAAGGAGCAGGACCCCCAGCAUCUGGCCCUCUGCAACCUAGGGCCCUGGGUGAAGUGCUCCGCGGUCCAGCCAUUUGUAUAUCUUCUGUUUGAGGAGCUCACUGAAGUCUUCUGCCUAAUUUUCUG